rnacentral:rRNA from 1 species
AGAGUUUGAUCCUGGCUCAGGAUGAACGCUAGCUACAGGCUUAACACAUGCAAGUCGAGGGGCAGCAUGGUCUUAGCUUGCUAAGGCCGAUGGCGACCGGCGCACGGGUGAGUAACACGUAUCCAACCUGCCGUCUACUCUUGGACAGCCUUCUGAAAGGAAGAUUAAUACAAGAUGGCAUCAUGAGUUCACAUGUUCACAUGAUUAAAGGUAUUCCGGUAGACGAUGGGGAUGCGUUCCAUUAGAUAGUAGGCGGGGUAACGGCCCACCUAGUCUUCGAUGGAUAGGGGUUCUGAGAGGAAGGUCCCCCACAUUGGAACUGAGACACGGUCCAAACUCCUACGGGAGGCAGCAGUGAGGAAUAUUGGUCAAUGGGCGCAGGCCUGAACCAGCCAAGUAGCGUGAAGGAUGACUGCCCUAUGGGUUGUAAACUUCUUUUAUAAAGGAAUAAAGUCGGGUAUGUAUACCCGUUUGCAUGUACUUUAUGAAUAAGGAUCGGCUAACUCCGUGCCAGCAGCCGCGGUAAUACGGAGGAUCCGAGCGUUAUCCGGAUUUAUUGGGUUUAAAGGGAGCGUAGAUGGAUGUUUAAGUCAGUUGUGAAAGUUUGCGGCUCAACCGUAAAAUUGCAGUUGAUACUGGAUAUCUUGAGUGCAGUUGAGGCAGGCGGAAUUCGUGGUGUAGCGGUGAAAUGCUUAGAUAUCACGAAGAACUCCGAUUGCGAAGGCAGCCUGCUAAGCUGCAACUGACAUUGAGGCUCGAAAGUGUGGGUAUCAAACAGGAUUAGAUACCCUGGUAGUCCACACGGUAAACGAUGAAUACUCGCUGUUUGCGAUAUACAGCAAGCGGCCAAGCGAAAGCGUUAAGUAUUCCACCUGGGGAGUACGCCGGCAACGGUGAAACUCAAAGGAAUUGACGGGGGCCCGCACAAGCGGAGGAACAUGUGGUUUAA